AGAUUAAAUGAUGGGGUGCAAGCUCUUGAUUGAAGUCCCAGUAAACGGCGGCCGUAACUAUAACGGUCCUAAGGUAGCGAAAUUCCUUGUCGGGUAAGUUCCGACCUGCACGAAUGGCGUAACGAUGGCCACACUGUCUCCUCCCGAGACUCAGCGAAGUUGAAGUGUUUGUGAUGAUGCAAUCUACCCGCGGCUAGACGGAAAGACCCCAUGAACCUUUACUGUAGCUUUGCAUUGGACUUUGAAUCAAUCUGUGUAGGAUAGGUGGGAGGCUUUGAAGCGGGGACGCCAGUCCUCGUGGAGCCAACCUUGAAAUACCACCCUGGUUCAUUUGAGGUUCUAACCUUGGCCCGUUAUCCGGGUCGGGGACAGUGCAUGGUAGGCAGUUUGACUGGGGCGGUCUCCUCCUAAAGUGUAACGGAGGAGUUCGAAGGUACGCUAGUUACGGUCGGACAUCGUGACGAUAGUGCAAUGGCAUAAGCGUGCUUAACUGCGAGACUGACAAGUCGAGCAGGUACGAAAGUAGGACAUAGUGAUCCGGUGGUUCUGUAUGGAAGGGCCAUCGCUCAACGGAUAAAAGGUACUCUGGGGAUAACAGGCUGAUUCCUCCCAAGAGUUCAUAUCGACGGGGGAGUUUGGCACCUCGAUGUCGGCUCAUCACAUCCUGGGGCUGUAGCCGGUCCCAAGGGUAUGGCUGUUCGCCAUUUAAAGUGGUACGUGAGCUGGGUUUAAAACGUCGUGAGACAGUUUGGUCCCUAUCUGCCGUGGGCGUUGGAAAUUUGAAGGGGGCUGCUCCUAGUACGAGAGGACCGGAGUGGACAGACCUCUGGUGUACCGGUUGUCACGCCAGUGGCAUUGCCGGGUAGCUAAGUCUGGAAGAGAUAACCGCUGAAAGCAUCUAAGCGGGAAACUUGCCUUAAGAUGAGAUUUCCCAGAGCCUUGAGCUCUUUGAAGGGUCGUUCGAGACCAGGACGUUGAUAGGUCAGGUGUGGAAGUGCAGUAAUGCAUUAAGCUAACUGAUACUAAUUGCCCGUACGGCUUGUCCCU
rnacentral:rRNA from 1 species